GUCAUGAGGGCAGAGGCCUCAUGAAUGAGAUUAAUGCCCUCAUAAAAGAGGCCUGAGAGAGCUCCCUUGCCUCUUCUGCCCUGUGAGGAUACAUGGAGAAGUCUGCAGCCUGGAAGAGGGCCCUCACCUGACCAUACUGGCACCUUGAUCUUGGACUUCCAGCCUCCAAAACUGGCAAGAGGUUCUGUAAAGCAGAGGGAAGAAGGAGUCCACUGAGAGUUCCCAGCUGCAGCUGUUUUCUCCUAAAAUACUUCAAAUUAGUGUGCUGUUAUGAGGAUUAAUUUUCAUUCCAGGACUACACGGUGUAAUCUACAUUAGAAAUGUCUAAUCUUCCUAUUGA